UACGUAGGGUGCGAGCGUUAAUCGGAAUUACUGGGCGUAAAGCGUGCGCAGGCGGUGAUGUAAGACAGGUGUGAAAUCCCCGGGCUUAACCUGGGAACUGCAUUGGUGACUGCAUUGCUGGAGUAUGGCAGAGGGGGGUGGAAUUCCACGUGUAGCAGUGAAAUGCGUAGAGAUGUGGAGGAACACCGAUGGCGAAGGCAGCCCCCUGGGCCAAUACUGACGCUCAUGCACGAAAGCGUGGGGAGCAAACAGG
rnacentral:rRNA from 1 species